GAGCACAAUAGAUGGGGGCCACUUGUAAGCAUGGCCCACACGCCUCACCCUCCUUCCUAUGGGCUGAUGUAAAAAUGUUUUGAUUGUGUUCUCUUGACCCAGUUUUGGGACCCUGGCUUGAGGCAGGCCUGUUGCCCUUCUCGAGCAGUGGAUUCAAUCCACACCCCUAACUGCUUCCCUCACUGGGCACCCACACUCUGAGGCGCUAUGCACUGGCUCUCAUUGGCCCAGGGGUAACCCCUAGGUCCCAGAGCCUCCAAAAUUAUUCAGAUGAACUGAUCCACGGGAGCCCAUGGGAUCCAGCUAACUGCGUCCCACCGGCCGGACAUUAGCCGCAGGCUGGAACUCCUGCUUGUUGGGACUCUGCCCCUGGGGACAACCCCCCGUGUGGCCCUGCCUGACAACCUUCUCUCAUCUGGAGCUCGGAGUAGCAGAGAAUUCCGCCCUUCAUUGACCUGAGCAUCACUUGUGUUGGGUCUUGCCACCGUCGAGUCUUAUAAAGCAGCUGAAGACCAGAGGCUCCGGAAAGUCACGAGCUGCAGACAGGCUGCACCAGGCUGUUCCUGAUUUCCCGCCAUCGCAGGAUAUCUGCCGUGGACGUGUCUGGAACACUUACCAGCUCUUCCCACAGACUCGUUGAAGACAGAGACUGUCUCCUCCCCUCCGGUAACCUCCAUUCCUAGCAUGGUGACUGGAACGUGUCGGUACCCAAUAGGACACACUGCACGGCAGCAGAGUGAGCGAGCGAGAGGU
rnacentral:lncRNA from 1 species